UUAAUGUCAAAGUUUUGCUGGAUAUUUUUUAAUCCCAUUUAAACAAGGUUCAAUAUUUUUCAAUUCUAAAAACGCACAAAUGGACCUAGAAUGAUGCUUUUUAAGUGUACUUUACGGGAACUAUCAAUAGUCUUGUUUAAACUUAUUUCUGAAUAAAUUUGUUGCAUACGACCUUUGAGUGCACAUAGGACACGCUUCAUAGAACUUUUUUUGCAGAUAGGAUUUCCACAUUGGAGCAAAUGUGUGCAGCAUUGCACAUAGGACUUUUCUUAAUUAUAUUUAAAUCUCUAUUUAAAAAGAACAACUUUUUUAUAAAAACUAUGUUCGCCCAAUCCUCGCGCAACGUGUAGGCAACAGCUGAUUGAGAGCAUGAAAUGUUUCAAUGCUUCCAGCGUGAGAGAGAGAAACCGUUAGGAGAGAAAAACAACCAACCCGCGCUCUCGUAAACCCAAACGUAAACAUCUGUCGGAUAGGUGCUUGCAAUUUAACUUACACGACAAUGUAAACAAUCUUUGUUUGGGUGCGGAUAGGACUUUUCAGAUAUUUCUGGUUUUAAUUUUUUUUUAUUGAUUUUUUUGUCAAAGAAGUGCUAAAAUCUUACUGAAGGCUGAUUAACUAGAGUUCAGAAUCUGCUUAACUGGUUUUGAGGAUACAUCAGCAACGGCGAGAACAAAACCGAGUUGAUCUCGCUGGCCGGAACAAGAAGCGCAAGAACGACGACCCUCCAAGCUGGAGACUUCAGGUGUCGUGAAGGCGGUUUGCUGACGAAAGUAGCAGUGGUAAGAAGGACAAGCACCGGUAGAACGGCGAGCGAGACAACAAUAAAAACCGGGAUCGGAACUAGGAUCGCGAUCGGGAGAGGGAAAACGACCGUCACC